CCGACUGCUAUUUGGGUGAGGAUAAGCCAUGCGAGUUGAAUGGGAAACCUAAAGUUCCCAUGGCAAACUGCUCAGUAACACAUGAUCAACUUACCCUAUAGAGAAAAAUAACCUCGGGAAACUGAGGAUAAUGUUUCAUAGUUGAAUUGGCUUGGAAAAGUUUUUCGACGAAAGGGGUAAAAAAAAUGGUUUUUAUCUGCUAUAGGAUAGGAUCGUGUUCGAUUAUGGUUGUUGGUGAGGUAAUGGCUCACCAAGCCGAUAAUCGAUAGGGGCCGUGAGAGCGGGAGCCCCGAGAUGGGUACUGAGACAACGACCCAGGCCUUACGAGGCGCAGCAGGCGCGAAACCUCCGCAAUACACGAAAGUGCGACGGGGUUACCCAAAGUGUUCAUUAGAACUGUGGUAGGUGAGUAAUGUUCCCUACUAGAAAGGAGAGGGCAAGGCUGGUGCCAGCCGCCGCGGUAAAACCAGCUCUUCAAGUGGUCGGGAUAAUUAUUGGGCUUAAAGUGUCCGUAGCCGGUUUAGUAAGUUCCUGGUAAAAUCGGGUAGCUUAACUAUCUAUAUGCUAGGAAUACUACUAUACUAGAGGGCGGGAGAGGUCUGAGGUACUACAGGGGUAGGGGUGAAAUCUUAUAAUCCUUGUUGGACCACCAGUGGCGAAGGCGUCAGACUGGAACGCGCCUGACGGUGAGGGACGAAAGCCAGGGGAGCGAACCGGAUUAGAUACCCGGGUAGUCCUGGCCGUAAACGAUGCAUACUAGGUGAUGGCACGGCCAUGAGCCGUGUCAGUGCCGUAGGGAAACCGUUAAGUGUGCCGCCUGGGAAGUACGGUCGCAAGGCUAAAACUUAAAGGAAUUGGCGGGGGAGCACCACAAGGGGUGAAGCCUGCGGUUCAAUUGGAUCAACGCCGGA
rnacentral:rRNA from 1 species